UACGUAGGGGGCAAGCGUUGUCCGGAAUCAUUGGGCGUAAAGCGCGCGUAGGUGGCCACAUAAGUCCGUUGUGAAAGUCAAAGGCUCAACCUUUGAAAGCCGAUGGAUACUGUGUGGCUAGAGUACGGAAGAGGCGAGUGGAAUUCCUGGUGUAGCGGUGGAAUGCGCAGAUAUCAGGAGGAACACCAAUAGCGAAGGCAGCUCGCUGGGACGUUACUGACGCUGAGGAGCGAAAGCGUGGGGAGCGAACAGG
rnacentral:rRNA from 1 species